UAAACUCAACAUCCACAAUUUAAUCUGAACAAUUGUUCUCCUCUAAAGCCCUUAUUUGAGGUAAAAUUAGAGAAAGAGUGUGUAAGAGAGAGAGAGAGAAAGAGAAAGAGAAAGAGAAAGAGAGAGCGACACUGCUGAGGUGAGCUAGAGAGAGACAGACCUGUCUGCAUUUCCUAGGUAGGGUAGAUGUCCCAGAAAAAUCAGAAAAAGGCGAGUACGUAGCCCUUAGCAUGGACCAUGGGCAACAGCUGUGAGAAGAUCUUAUGCACCACGGAUUUUUUUAAAACAGUCUUAUAAAUUCCACAAAUAUUUUGCCAUCAAUCUUGCCGUGUUAGUGUGCCCUUUAUUACUGACUACUGCCAUGCUCUAUUCUGUGGAAAAUCAAGCAUCCAUCCAACCCAAGCAAAAUCAGAGUGUUUUAGGAAAUGUGAAUUCAAUUGACCAGCACAUUUCAGACUAAACAUGGCCACUGCCUCUUUAUUUCCUGCACUUGUUUAGUUUACAAUUCACAUUUGGGUAUUUUCUCUUCAGUAACCCCAUUUCAUUAGAGGUCUCUGGAGUCCCUGAAUCUGUUUUGUUUACUUUAUUGGAUUUCUUCCAGGCUGUGUCUGAGAAAUCAUGACCGCUUUUGCUCAGUGCAACUGAGGACUCACUUGCUGUAAUCCAUCUACAGUAUGCCUUUGACCUCAGGACACCCCCUGAGCUGCUGUCCAGCUGCACUUCUAGCUGUGUAUUUCAGCUUCAGUGUUUUCCUCUGUUUUGCUGUUUUAUUACCAAAUUGGUCUACAUUGUAAUGCCUUAAAUAACAAGAUAUGUUCACUCUGCUUUCUAAAGAUACUCUUAGCUUUUUGUACUCUCAUUGACAAGUUAUGAGCCUUUUCACUGAAGAACCAUGCAGCCGUCCUCUUGCUCCAUUCCAAAGAUGCUCUCUUUGGAACCAGAAUCUUGAGCAAGAGUCUUCAUAUAAGAAUACUGGCAGUCGCUAUAUUAAAAAUUGUGAAAUUUUAGAGUGUCAUCUUUCCAAAAAAAAAAAAAUGAUGCUUCAUUAGCUAUUUGUGCUGAAGUCUGCCUGUAUGGUUAGGGGGGAAAAGAGAGAAAAAAAAUUCUAAUUUGAAUGCUGUAUUUUCUGUGCAGUGAUGGGCGUGUGGGUGUGUGUGUGUGUCUGUUAACCCUGGGAAAAUUUGAUCAUGAAUCCUUUACUUUCACAGUUAAAUUUGACUUGAACAGUUGCAUAUUCUUUUUCUGGUCCAUCUCAAUCUCUUUUAUGUUCUUUCUCUUAAUAAAACAUGUCUAUGGUUUCAAA
rnacentral:lncRNA from 1 species